rnacentral:tRNA from 1 species
GGAGGGAUGGGUGAGUGGUUGAAACCGGCGGACUUGAAAUCCGUUAUGGCCUCGCGGUCAUCGGGGGUUCGAAUCCCUCCCCCUCCGCCA